CCUACGGGGGGCUGCAGUAGGGAAUAUUGCUCAAUGGGGGAAACCCUGAAGCAGCAACGCCGCGUGGAGGAUGAAGGUUUUAGGAUUGUAAACUCCUUUUGUUAGAGAAGUUUAUGACGGUAUCUAACGAAUAAGCACCGUCUAACUCCGUGCCAGCAGCCGCGGUAAUACGGAGGGUGCAAGCGUUAUUCGGAAUCACUGGGCGUAAAGGGUGUGUAGGCGGGGUAAUAAGUGAGAUGUGAAAUCCUGUAGCGUAACUACAGAACUGCAUUUGAAACUGUUCCUCUGGAGUGUGGGAGAGGUAGGUGGAAUUCUUGGUGUAGGGGUAAAAUCCGUAGAGAUCAAGAGGAAUACUCAUUGCGAAGGCGACCUGCUGGAACAUUACUGACGCUGAUGCACGAAAGCGUGGGGAGCAAACAGGAUUAGAUACCCCAGUAGUC
rnacentral:rRNA from 1 species